CCUACGGGAGGCAGCAGUGGGGAAUCUUGGACAAUGGGCGCAAGCCUGAUCCAGCCAUGCCGCGUGAGUGACGAAGGCCCUAGGGUUGUAAAACUCUUUCGCAGGUGACGAUAAUGACGGUAACCUGAGAAGAAGCUCCGGCUAACUUCGUGCCAGCAGCCGCGGUAAUACGAAGGGGGCUAGCGUUGUUCGGAUUUACUGGGCGUAAAGCGCGUGUAGGCGGGUCGUUAAGUUGGGGGUGAAAGCCCGGAGCUCAACUCCGGAAUUGCCUUCAAGACUGGCGGCCUGGACCCAAGGAGAGGCAAGUGGAAUUGCGAGUGUAGAGGUGAAAUUCGUAGAUAUUCGCAGGAACACCAGUGGCGAAGGCGACUUGCUGGACUUGUGGUGACGCUGAGACGCGAAAGCGUGGGGAGCAAACAGGAUUAGAUACCCGAGUAGUC
rnacentral:rRNA from 1 species